rnacentral:lncRNA from 10 species
GCCACUGCCAGUCUCCACAUCUAGGUGGUAGUGGUCCCCCGGGCCCAGCUGUCUUUUCUUCUAUCUCUUUGUCUUGUGUCUUUAUUUCUACGACCUCUCAUCUCCGCACACCAGGAGAAAAACCCACAGACCCAGUAGGGCUGGACCCUACAGCUCUAUGCAAAUCAGAUACUGCCUCCUCCAGCCUCCCAUAUAACCGACCACUUUUCUGCCCUCCCUCUGUCUCUGUACAGGGGAGCUGUUCUCUUCUUUCUUUCUUCUUUCUUCUUUCUUGCCUAUUAAAUUAUCCGCUCCUUAAACCACUCCGCAUGUGUCCAUGUCAUUUUAUCUAAAUCAGCAUGAGACCAAGGACCUGAUGUUCCUCCAGUCAUUGGAGCCAUAUCAGGGCCAUUUACUUUGAUAGAGAGACAAAGCUGGUUUAGUGAUGGAUAGGGGGCUUAGUCAUUAAGGAACUCAUUUUUGGACAUGGUGAAUUUGGGUAUUAAUAGCUUAUAAAAUGUAAUGCUAUCAGAUCCAUAACACUUUCCAGGAACUGUGGCUUUUUCACUGGGGUUUUAAGCUCCUCUGGGAAAACGAGGGGCAAUGUUGGGCAGGAAGAACUCCCACCCUCCAGGAAGCCUGAGUGGACCAUCCCUUCCCCAAAAGCAGGCUUCCUAUCAAAGCUGCGUUGUCCUUUUCAUCCUUUCUCCCUGCAUGCCUCCAUCCAAAAAUAGAAGUGUGUUACCCUGCGGGUUCACUGAGCCUCCACAUAACCACACAUGUCAAAAUCAUGGAACACUGAGGAGGCCUUCUCAAAAUAUUUUGGAAUUAUCUACAUUCAGUUUUAGUUUUUAAAACUUUAAAAAAAUGCAAUUGUACUUUAACUCACC